rnacentral:lncRNA from 1 species
AUCCAGGGCCCUCUGAACUGAUAUAUUCUGGACACUUGCUACCUGAAGGGAAACUGCAGGUAGUUGGUGUUGUGCACACCAAUGACAACAGCCAACAGAAGAUUCUAGGACAAAAAGAAGUCAGGCUCAAACCAGCUGUAUUAAGGAAGGUGCAAGCUUUUGGGAUUUCUGUUUGGAUUUAGUUUAGGUUCAAAAGAGCACGCACAGAUCCUGAGUGUUGUCAAGCACCCGUGACUGGGAAACGGAGGCGUCCGAUCCGUAUUGGAGUCAAUUCGCCACUUAAUUGGGCACAGCACGAAACCCUGAAGAUAAAGGAUGAUGUUGGUAAAUAUUUUCAUCAGACUUUGUGAGAAUUCAGAUUUCUAAUAAAAUUAAUUUGAGAAAAAUCAAUGACCCUAUGAGUUUAAGAGGACUUUUUUAUGAGAUUCUCCUCAUCCAUGCUGGGGUUUAAGGACACAGCCUCGAAGGGAAGGGCCAUAUUUGUGGGCCUGUCUAACAAUUAAGAGUGACCACAUGGAAUGGGGGAUGAAAGGGUUAAAGAAGAACAAAUAUUGAACACAGCUUUUCUAUGAACAAACUGCAGGCAGCUGCUGCUUUGCAAGGGGAACUUCUUGGCUGCCAUUUCUGGAUGUCAAGGCUGCAGAUACACUGGUCAGGACCCUGGGUAGAGAGAGAUGCGUCAGAAUGCGGCUCCUUUCAGAAAGGCUUCUCCGGAGGGUGAUAAUCUUUACCAUGUGCACAAACAUGAUGCUCUCCUGAUGUGAAAACAUUGGUACUAUGAGGCUCCCAGAAUUCCCAGCCUUUAGAACUGUUGGUGAGGUCAGCUGACUACUAGAAGACAGAUCUAUUUGAAGAUUUUUGUGGUGGUCUUUACUACUCCAGAGAUUUACAGCUGAUGAAAAAUGGAGAAGUACAUGACCCUACCCUGCUGUUGGACAUGCUACCCAAGGAUCAUGACUGACAACUUGUCAACAUCACUAUUGCUUAUUUAAUAAAUGUGCAGUACUACUUCAAUAAACCUGGAAUCAUAAAAUUUUAGAGAACAAACCUUAAAUUACAUCCAGGGGUUACUCCAUCAUUAUCAUGGCAGGGAACAUGGCAGGAUGCAGGCAGAUGGUAGCUGAGAGUUCUACAUCUGGAUCCACAGGAAGCAGUUGAUUGAGAAUAAUGGUUCUGUUUUGGAGGUUGAUGGAAGAUGCCCUUUGGCCAGGAAAACAGCUCAUGCUUUUAGAGGAGGAUAAUUGCCAGAAGGCCUCUCUGAAUAAAAAAAAAUCCUGACCUCACAGCCUUUGCGCUUACUUGGGUUAGAAUGCCACAGUGAACAUUGCCCCUUGUCAUCACGUAGAGGUGCUCACAGGUAAAGCAACACAAGGAGCAUAUAGGAUCACCUGCUGGAUCUUGUUUUUAACACCAGGGAGGAAAAUGGUGUCUUGGGUAAUGAACAUGCCUCAAGACUGAGCUGGCCAUCUUCAGUGUCAUCCAAACCCUCAGUGGCCCCUGGAAAACCCUUUGAAAAGAUUCAGCACGUUGCCAUGGAGAACAUCCCACUGAAGGAAUGUAUAGAAGUAGCAGGGUUAACUGAGUGCCUUCCAUCUUCCCUCCAAGGGAUCUGCAAUGAGAUGGGAGAAGGCAACAGGCUGUGUGGGAACCACUGAAGCUGGGAUGGCAGGGAAAGAACAUCUUAGGCUAACUCUUCAAGCCUUGCUGUCACAUUUGCUUUUGAGUCUAUGGUGUCAGCUGCCUACCAGUUGCUUUCAUCUCUAGAAAUCUGUGACUUGCAGUAUGACAAGAACAAAAGGUGACAAUACAAAGGACAAAGGGCAAGGAAUACAGACGGAGAAGCCGCUUAGAGUCUAGGAUGGCAGAGGUUCUCUUGAUCAUUUCAUUUUUGAGCGCUUGUAGAGCUUUGGUGUACCAGAGGUGCUUGAACAGCUUACCACACCACAGAUGAAUGGCCUUUGGAUUUCUCCUAAGAAAAUGGGGCUACCUGAAAUUCAACUCCAUUUUCUGGUCUUCAAUAUUUCUUUUGUGUUCAGUUUGCCAGCUGAGGAGAAGUGGCUAAGCAUAGCCUGUUACUGAUGCUAAAGCCCAAGUUCUGAACCUAACAACUCCAGCAACAUGAUCCUGUUUCAAGAGACAAAAAAGUGACUAAUGAAAGAAAACAAUUGAUGUGCUAUGUAGAGUUUAAAAGAAGGUAAAGAGAAUAAAUUAAAAGCAACAACUCUCUGUGGCUCAUUAAUGGGACCUCUCCAGAGGAAGAUUUCAAGAUCAAGAAGGGAAAACUCUUUAAUAAUUGAUAAUUUUUCUGGAAAAUAUGGAAGUCUUAGGUGAUAGAGGUCUGUCGUCCAGAGCAGGUAAGAGAACAGAGAAUUAUGCUAGCUACUUUUGUGUUGCUGUAA